rnacentral:rRNA from 1 species
UACGUAGGGUGCAAGCGUUGUCCGGAAUUAUUGGGCGUAAAGAGCUCGUAGGCGGUCUGUCGCGCCGGCUGUGAAAACCCGGAGCUCAACUCCGGGCCUGCAGUCGAUACGGGCAAACUGGAGUGUUGCAGGGGAGACUGGAAUUCCUGGUGUAGCGGUGAAAUGCGCAGAUAUCAGGAGGAACACCGGUGGCGAAGGCGGGUCUCUGGGCAACAACUGACGCUGAGGAGCGAAAGCGUGGGGAGCGAACAGG